AGAGAUCAGAAAUGCAAGAGGCAGAGGAAGCAAGGUUGGAGAGAAUUAGGAGGUACAAAUCACUGCAUCUUCAUCAUAUAAUUCUCAGUUGACUAAAAUUGUUUGGUAUUGGUUUCAGGUGUCAUAAUAAUUAUUAAUUUUUUCCAGCCAAAUAAGGCUACUCAUUAAGUUAAUCUAAA